UGGUGAUUUUGAACAUAGCUAUCAACCACUCAACCUGGAAAAAGCUGAGUGAUUGAUAGCUAUGUUCAAAAUCACCA
rnacentral:miRNA from 2 species